rnacentral:rRNA from 1 species
AUUGAACGCUGGCGGCAGGCCUAACACAUGCAAGUCGAGCGGAUGAAGGGAGCUUGCUCCUGGAUUCAGCGGCGGACGGGUGAGUAAUGCCUAGGAAUCUGCCUGGUAGUGGGGGAUAACGUCCGGAAACGGGCGCUAAUACCGCAUACGUCCUGAGGGAGAAAGUGGGGGAUCUUCGGACCUCACGCUAUCAGAUGAGCCUAGGUCGGAUUAGCUAGUUGGUGGGGUAAAGGCCUACCAAGGCGACGAUCCGUAACUGGUCUGAGAGGAUGAUCAGUCACACUGGAACUGAGACACGGUCCAGACUCCUACGGGAGGCAGCAGUGGGGAAUAUUGGACAAUGGGCAAAAGCCUGAUCCAGCCAUGCCGCGUGUGUGAAGAAGGUCUUCGGAUUGUAAGGCACUUUAAGUUGGGAGGAAGGGCAGUAAGUUAAUACCUUGCUGUUUUGACGUUACCAACAGAAUAAGCACCGGCUAACUUCGUG